rnacentral:rRNA from 1 species
GGGUCAGUAGGUUGGUCGUGCCACCGGUACGUACUGGUCUCACUGAUUCCUCCUUCCUGAAGAACCGUAAUGCCAUUAAUUUGGUGUUGCGGGGAAACAGGACUGUUACUUCGAAAAAAUUAGAGUGUUUAGAGCAAGCUAACGCUUGAAUACAUUAGCAUGGAAUAAUGAAAUAGGACGAUCGAUCCUAUUUUGUUGGUUUCUAGGAUUGACGUA